rnacentral:rRNA from 1 species
AAAUUGAAGAGUUUGAUCAUGGCUCAGAUUGAACGCUGGCGGCAGGCCUAACACAUGCAAGUCGAACGGUAACAGAAAGCAGCUUGCUGCUUUGCUGACGAGUGGCGGACGGGUGAGUAAUGUCUGGGAAACUGCCUGAUGGAGGGGGAUAACUACUGGAAACGGUAGCUAAUACCGCAUAACGUCGCAAGACCAAAGAGGGGGACCUUCGGGCCUCUUGCCAUCGGAUGUGCCCAGAUGGGAUUAGCUUGUUGGUGGGGUAACGGCUCACCAAGGCGACGAUCCCUAGCUGGUCUGAGAGGAUG